CAGCCUAUGGUAUCUGAGGUCCAGGAGAGAUGACCUGCGCUGUUUUCCUCUGAGGAGAUAUCUGAAAAUUUCAUCGGAUCACAAGCAAAGACCUCCUGGGGACCUUCAAUGCAUCCCUUGACAAAUUUGUGCCUGGCCUGCUGAAACUGUACUGGUCUAAGAAGGGAGCUCUUGGUGAGGAGAUGGAAGACCUCCUGGAUAAACUUGAUGAACAGACAUCCAACACUGUGUCCAACGGGCACUGAGAGGCCUGCCCAUUUUCCUCAAGAGAAGAUGCAACAGAGGUUUUCCUGAAGUGCUUAGACACUGACAUUUUGGAACCAGUGUUGAACGGUGCAUCAGUUGCCAUCCUCACCAUCCUACAAGAUGACGAUGCUGAUACGUCUGUGCGAGAACAUGCAGUUGUGUUGGAAGGGGACAUCGUGCUACAUAACAUUCCAGAUCUCUCUACUGCCCUGGCACACCUCUUUGGCCUUCUGUAUGCCCUCAACAUUGAUUAUCCAAAGCAGAUGAGUUUUACCUUUGAAGCAAUUCAGGCCAUCUUAUUUUGGCCUGGUCGGACAAUAUGAAGGUGAAGUGGAUAAAUCAUUAUUCGAAAUGUAAAUUUUAGUCAGAUGAAUCUGUAUUGUUGAGAAUAUAUGGUGAAAAUUUGUCUUGUA